GUGGGGAAUAUUGGACAAUGGGCGCAAGCCUGAUCCAGCCAUGCCGCGUGAGUGAUGAAGGCCUUAGGGUUGUAAAGCUCUUUCAGUGGGGACGAUAAUGACGGUACCCACAGAAGAAGCCCCGGCUAACUUCGUGCCAGCAGCCGCGGUAAUACGAAGGGGGCUAGUGUUGUUCGGAUUUACUGGGCGUAAAGCGCACGUAGGCGGAUCGUUAAGUCGGGGGUGAAAUCCUGGAGCUCAACUCCAGAACUGCCUUCGAUACUGGCGAUCUUGAGUCCGGAAGAGGCGAGUGGAACUCCUAGUGUAGAGGUGGAAUUCGUAGAUAUUAGGAAGAACACCAGUGGCGAAGGCGGCUCACUGGUCCGGUACUGACGCUGAGGUGCGAAAGCGUGGGGAACAAACAGGAUUAGAAACCCUUGUAGUCC
rnacentral:rRNA from 1 species